CCGGGUGCUGGCGUACAGGAGCCCCAGCGAGGCGCAGGCGAACAGCAGCACCGACACGCACAGGGCCCGGCGGCCCAGCCGCAUCCUGGAUGGGCAGGAGGGGUGCGGGGGAAGCGGCGAGGGAAUUUUCCUGGGAACAGCUUUGCAGGCAGGAACAGAGCUGCAGCAUCCGACCUGAGGGCCAGCGUGGAUGCAGGCGGCGAGAGUGAUGGUGUUUGCCUAAGGGUCACAUCUGCUAGGAUCAGGAACUAUUCCUGACUUGAUGUCCAGUGGCCACUUCUGGAUGUACUCGGGGAACUGUAUGCAGUGCCAGGGAUCGAAUAUCUGGGAUGGCCAAAGUUUCUCUAACCAUCUGCUGAUACGAUCAGAAGAUGUUUAUUUGUACUUUUGUUGAUGUGGGGCAUUACACUAAUUGACUGACACAUAUUGAGCCAUUUUCAUAGCCGUGGAAU